UACGUAGGGUCCGAGCGUUGUCCGGAAUUAUUGGGCGUAAAGAGCUCGUAGGUGGCGUGUCGCGUCUGCCGUGAAAGCCCAUGGCUUAACUGUGGGUCUGCGGUGGAUACGGGCAGGCUGGAGGCUGGUAGGGGCAAGCGGAAUUCCUGGUGUAGCGGUGAAAUGCGCAGAUAUCAGGAGGAACACCGGUGGCGAAGGCGGCUUGCUGGGCCAGUUCUGACGCUGAGGAGCGAAAGCGUGGGGAGCGAACAGG
rnacentral:rRNA from 1 species